AGAUAGAAAAGGUCGAUAUGAAAAAUACAGUUGUUGAUGAGAGCCAAAGACAGUGGAAUGAUCAAGAGACUUCCUCCACAUUAAGGAAGGAAAAAUCUAGUGAAGGAAGUGCAAGUGAAUCUGAGGAUGAUAACGAGAGAAAUGAUGCUGCAGAAGAAGAAACAGAUGAUGAAGACAAUGCCUUUUUUGACACCUGCAAUUUUCUAUCGUCCAGUUCUUUCAAAAGUAAUGGGUCUGAUUAAAGAGUAUCAUCUUUCUCUUCUGAUGAUGAUGGGUUCUAUGCAUUCGAAUCGGAGGAUGAUGUAGAUACAGCCAUUAGAUCUGUUGGAAGCAACUACCCUCAUGUUAAGUGGCGUAAGAAAUUGCCUGACCCUAUAGAGAAAGAAAAAGGUGUGAAUCUCUAGUCAAUGAUUAAGGAUAAUAUAGGGUAGGAUCUAACUAAAGUUUGCCUCCCUAUUUAUUUUAAUGAGCCACUCUCCCUUCCUGCAAAAAUGUUUUGAAGAAAUGGAAUAUUCCCAUCUGCUGGACCAAGCAUAUGAAUGGGGAAGAAGAGUAAGUCUAGAUUUGGCCGACAUGUCUCUACUACGAUGCAAGUCUGCAUUUUUUUUUGCCGGCAUAGAGUUUUUCUUACUGACAGUUCUUUGAAUGUGGUUAUGGUUUUGUUGUUUGAUUUAUUUUUUUACUGUUUGACACUUAUUUCUGUUAUAGCUCUUUUGUGCUAUUAGGUUAGGGUUUAGAGAGAUGAGUACCAAUUUUUGGGAGAGAUUUGUCGGCGUGACCGAAAGAUAUUUGGCUUUACAUGUUCGAUAUCUGUCUUACUUCUGAUUCUUAGAUCUGAUGAUGUCGGCGGUGAAGAUCUUCGAUUAGAUCUCGGAGAUUGUUUUUCGUUUUUCUGUUAGAUGGAAAGGAGAAAACAAGAGGAUAAAGUGAAGAGGGUGCAACAACAGGAGGAAUGUUUUAAGCAUGUUAAGGUAAUUAUUGGGUUUGCUUCUCAUAGAAUAUAUUCAGUUAAAAUUUAUUUAUCAUUAGAAAAUGAGAAGAAUUUGAUUAAAAUAUUCUCUUACCAUUAUAAAUAAGAUCUUUGGAUGAUCAUGAACCCUGAAAUAGCUUUUUAUAAAAUCUGUAACUUAAAAGUGUUAUAGACUCUGCUCCUAACUGAUUAAUUUUUCUUUGGAGAUUAAAGAAAUGUACUUUUGUUGUACAUAAAUGCAUACUUUUUUUAGCUUAGUUAAAAUGUGACAAUUUUUUUAGUUUUAACAGCAACUGAAACAAAAGCAUGUGAAAAAAACACAAUGAUCUUGAGACACAUAAUAAGAGCUACAUACACUCCAUAUAGAAACACUUCAAUUGCUCUCCAAAUUUUAUUCAUAUAGAAAGCAGUGCUGUUGUAAAUUUAGUAACCAACCAUCCUUAUUUGUAUAAUUGCACACUACUUGAAUUUUACUUGGAUGUUAUUCAGAUUUAUUUAUUAAUUAUGAUCCGUUAGUAGUAAAAAUUUUGAAAUCUAUUAGCUGCGAAAAUCUAAUUGGAGCGAGCCCUUUUUUUUUCAUUCUUUAUGGAUUUGUGAGUAUUUCUUGUGUGGUUUUGAAGUAUUUAUCCUUUUAUUGAGAUAAUUGUGUGGUUUUAAACUUGAAUUAUACUUGAAUGUUAUUUAUAUAUAAUUAUUUAAUGUGUAGAUUUUGCGGUACAGUAUAAUGGUUUUUUCUCUAAAUUAUGAUUAAUUUGUUCUUUUACGAAGAACUCUCUGAGAAAGUUAAAGUAAAUAAUCUUUCUUCUUGCUUAUUUUUUAUAUAAAUUCUGUUUAAUUUGUUUUUUUUUGUGUGGUUUUAUAAUAUUUAUUUUUUUUUUGAUAUAGUUGUAUAUUUGGGUAUAUUUGGAUAUUUUAAAUUGUUAAUAUUUUGUUACUACUCCAAUCACUGUUAUAUCUUUUUAAAAAAUAUUUUUAUAUUUGUAUAUGUGUGUUAAUCUAUGUGUGACAUCCAUGUAUGAGUUAUUCUUCUCCUUGUUCUAGGAUUUCUUUAAUUUUGUUUCAAAUAAAUUGAAUUCACUGAUUAUUUAUUCUCUUUUAUGUGGUUUUAUAAUAUUUAUUUUUUAAAGAUGGGUGAAAGUACAUGUUUACUUCUAAUCCUCUAUUAUGUACUGCUUAAAAUAAUUAUGAUGUUUAUAAAUUAAGAAUGGAUAAGUUGUCUUUUAGAAAUUCAAAAUCACAAAUUAGUUAUUUUAUACAAAAUUCAUGCAUAUAAAGGGGAGGACUAAUAUGCCGACUUUUAUUUGAUAUCUUCUGUAUCUUUAGGGUUAUUUCUUUGUUAUUUUUUGUGAGUCUUUAUUUCUUGAUUGAAUGAUCUAUUUUUUUGUUUUCUGUUUUUGUGGGGGGUAAAUGCUCGGGAUUAUUAUUAAAAUAGAGCUUCAUGUUGAUUUUAUAAGUAUUAUGAACAUUUUUUCUUUUCUGAUUUUUUUGCACUGAAAAGAAUUUAUAGGCAAAUUUAGAUUUUUGCUUUUUUUUUCUUCUAAUGAGGAUUGUAAUUUGUAUAUGAGGUCCAUGUUGAUUUUACAAGUAUAACCAACAUUUUUGCUAAUUUUCUUCUUCUGAAAUU